AUAGUAACAAGGCUCUGGAAGCUGAUGCAAUUUCCUGAAGGAGACGUGUCCCUGAGGUGCUAGAACAGGGUUCGAUGACCUUCCGGUGUGUGCUGACCCAGGUGUCCCUGAGAACGGCUUCAGGACACCCGGUGGAGGGCUUUUCCUUGAAAGGUCUGUCACCCAGUUUCACUGCCAAGACGGGUUCACGCUCCAGGGCCCUACAAAGAGGCUGUGUGUGAGACAUCUCAAUGGAACCCUCGGCUGGAUCCCCAAUGAUAAGCCCUUCUGUGCACAAGAAGAUUGCCGUAUCCCUCAAAUCGACGAUGCUGAGAUUCAUACCAGGACAUACAGACACGGAGACAAGCUGAUCGUCACCUGUCACGAGGGAUUCAAGAUCCGCUACCCUGAUCUGUACAACGUGGUUUCUCUGUGCCGUGAUGACGGGACGUGGGACAACCUGCCGCUC